GGGUUGUGAGGUUAAGCGACUAAGCGUACACGGUGGAUGCCCUGGCAGUCAGAGGCGAUGAAGGGCGUGCUAAUCUGCGAUAAGCGCCGGUAAGGUGAUAUGAACCGUUAUAACCGGCGAUACCCGAAUGGGGAAACCCAGUGUGAUUCGUCACACUAUCAUUACGUGAAUACAUAGCGUAAUGAAGCGAACCGGGGGAACUGAAACAUCUAAGUACCCCGAGGAAAAGAAAUCAACCGAGAUUCCCCCAGUAGCGGCGAGCGAACGGGGAGGAGCCCAGAGCCUGAAUCAGCAUGUGUGUUAGUGGAAGCGUCUGGAAAGGCGCGCGAUACAGGGUGACAGCCCCGUACACAAAAGCGCAUGUGUUGUGAGCUCGAUGAGUAGGGCGGGACACGUGGUAUCCUGUCUGAAUAUGGGGGGACCAUCCUCCAAGGCUAAAUACUCCUGACUGACCGAUAGUGAACCAGUACCGUGAGGGAAAGGCGAAAAGAACCCCGGCGAGGGGAGUGAAAAAGAACCUGAAACCGUGUACGUACAAGCAGUGGGAGCACCCUUUGGGGUGUGACU
rnacentral:rRNA from 1 species